GACGAACCGUGCGAACGUUGUUCGGAAUCACUGGGCUUAAAGGGCGCGUAGGCGGCCUCUUUGGUCGUGGGUGAAAUCCCCCAGCUUAACUGGGGAAGGGCCUACGAUACCGGGGGGCUCGAGGGAGGAAGGGGCGGUCGGAACUGUCGGAGGAGCGGUGAAAUGCGUUGAUAUCGACAGGAACGCCGGUGGCGAAAGCGGACCGCUGGCCCUCUUCUGACGCUGAGGCGCGAAAGCCAGGGGAGCGAACGGG
rnacentral:rRNA from 1 species